GAGUUUGAUCCUGGCUCAGAUUGAACGCUGGCGGCAUGCCUAACACAUGCAAGUCGAACGGUAGCAGGCCUUCGGGUGCUGACGAGUGGCGGACGGGUGAGUAAUGCGUAGGAAUCUGUCUUUUAGUGGGGGACAACCCAGGGAAACUUGGGCUAAUACCGCAUGAGCCCUGAGGGGGAAAGCGGGGGAUCUUCGGACCUCGCGCUAAGAGAAGAGCCUACGUCUGAUUAGCUAGUUGGUAGGGUAAAGGCCUACCAAGGCGACGAUCAGUAGCUGGUCUGAGAGGACGACCAGCCACACUGGGACUGAGACACGGCCCAGACUCCCACGGGAGGCAGCAGUGGGGAAUUUUUCGCAAUGGGGGCAACCCUGACGAAGCAAUGCCGCGUGGAUGAAGAAGGCCUUCGGGUUGUAAAGUCCUUUCGUGGGGGACGAAAAGGUGGUUCCUAAUACGAGCUGCUGUUGACGUGAACCCAAGAAGAAGCACCGGCUAACUCCGUGCCAGCAGCCGCGGUAAUACGGGGGGUGCAAGCGUUAAUCGGAAUCACUGGGCGUAAAGGGUGCGUAGGCGGUACGUUAGGUCUGUCGUGAAAUCCCCGGGCUCAACCUGGGAAUGGCGGUAGAAACCGGCGAACUAGAGUAUGGGAGAGGGUGGUGGAAUUCCAGGUGUAGCGGUGAAAUGCGUAGAGAUCUGGAGGAACAUCAGUGGCGAAGGCGGCCACCUGGCCCAAUACUGACG
rnacentral:rRNA from 1 species